rnacentral:rRNA from 1 species
GUACGGGAGGCAGCAGUGGGGAAUAUUGGACAAUGGGCGAAAGCCUGAUCCAGCAAUGCCGCGUGAGUGAUGAAGGCCUUAGGGUUGUAAAGCUCUUUUACCCGGGAAGAUAAUGACUGUACCGGGAGAAUAAGCCCCGGCUAACUCCGUGCCAGCAGCCGCGGUAAUACGGAGGGGGCUAGCGUUGUUCGGAAUUACUGGGCGUAAAGCGUACGUAGGCGGCUUUGUAAGUUAGAGGUGAAAGCCCGGGGCUCAACCCCGGAAUAGCCUUUAAGACUGCAUCGCUUGAACGUCGGAGAGGUGAGUGGAAUUCCGAGUGUAGAGGUGAAAUUCGUAGAUAUUCGGAAGAACACCAGUGGCGAAGGCGGCUCACUGGACGACUGUUGACGCUGAGGUACGAAAGCGUGGGGAGCAAACAGGAUUAGAUACCCCGGUAGUCCG